rnacentral:pre_miRNA from 14 species
ACCAAUGCUCUAUUUCUUAUUCCAUGAUGUUGAGAGUGUCUAAUGAAAGACCCCUGGAGAGGGGAGACCCUCACUCAAGUCUCAGGAUGACACAACCCCCCAAGAACUCACUAGAGACC